rnacentral:misc_RNA from 1 species
AGCAGCCGCGGUAAUUCCAGCUCCAAUAGCGUAUAUUAAAGUUGUUGCAGUUAAAAAGCUCGUAGUUGAAUUUCGGGGUUCUACCGUCGGUCGGGCUACCAAGUCUGUACUGGUGUGUAGAAUCCCUACCUUCUGGGGAACUAUCAUGUUAUUAAUUUAGCGUGGUGGGAAACCAGGACCUUUACCUUGAAAAAUUAGAGUGUUCAAAGCAGGCUUAUGUCUGAAUACAUUAGCAUGGAAUAAUAGAAUAGGACGGUGGUCCUGUUUUGUUGGUUUCUGAAUCACCGUAAUGAUUAAUAGGGAUAGUUGGGGGCAUUAGUAUUCAAUUGUCAGAGGUGAAAUUCUUGGAUUUAUUGAAGACUAACUUCUGCGAAAGCAUUCGCCAAGGAUGUU